CGGGGUACACGAGCGGCGAACGGGUGAGUAACACGUGGGUGAUCUGCCUUGCACUUCGGGAUAAGCCUGGGAAACUGGGUCUAAUACCGGAUAUGACCAUGAGAUGCAUGUCUUGUGGUGGAAAGAUUUAUCGGUGCGAGAUGGGCCCGCGGCCUAUCAGCUUGUUGGUGAGGUAACGGCUCACCAAGGCGACGACGGGUAGCCGACCUGAGAGGGUGACCGGCCACACUGGGACUGAGACACGGCCCAGACUCCUACGGGAGGCAGCAGUGGGGAAUAUUGCACAAUGGGCGAAAGCCUGAUGCAGCGACGCCGCGUGCGGGAUGACGGCCUUCGGGUUGUAAACCGCUUUUGACAGGGACGAAGCGCAAGUGACUGUACCUGUAGAAUAAGGACCGGCCAACUACGUGCCAGCAGCCGCGGUAAUACGUAGGGUCCGAGCGUUGUCCGGAAUUACUGGGCGUAAAGAGCUUGUAGGCGGUUCGUCGCGUCGUUUGUGAAAACUUGGGGCUCAACCUUAAGCUUGCAGGCGAUACGGGCGGACUAGAGUACUUCAGGGGAGACUGGAAUUCCUGGUGUAGCGGUGAAAUGCGCAGAUAUCAGGAGGAACACCGGUGGCGAAGGCGGGUCUCUGGGAAGUAACUGACGCUGAGAAGCGAAAGCAUGGGUAGCAAACAGGAUUAGAUACCCUGGUAGUCCAUGCCGUAAACGGUGGGUACUAGGUGUGGGGCUCCUUCCACGGACUCCGUGCCGUAGCUAACGCAUUAAGUACCCCGCCUGGGGAGUACGGCCGCAAGGCUAAAACUCAAAGAAAUUGACGGGGGCCCGCACAAGCGGCGGAGCAUGUGGAUUAAUUCGAUGCAACGCGAAGAACCUUACCUGGGUUUGACAUACACCGGAAACCUGCAGAGAUGUAGGCCCCCUUGUGGUCGGUGUACAGGUGGUGCAUGGCUGUCGUCAGCUCGUGUCGUGAGAUGUUGGGUUAAGUCCCGCAACGAGCGCAACCCUUAUCUUAUGUUGCCAGCGCGUAAUGGCGGGGACUCGUGAGAGACUGCCGGGGUCAACUCGGAGGAAGGUGGGGACGACGUCAAGUCAUCAUGCCCCUUAUGUCCAGGGCUUCACACAUGCUACAAUGGCCGGUACAGAGGGCUGCGAUACCGCGAGGUGGAGCGAAUCCCUUAAAGCCGGUCUCAGUUCGGAUCGGGGUCUGCAACUCGACCCCGUGAAGUUGGAGUCGCUAGUAAUCGCAGAUCAGCAACGCUGCGGUGAAUACGUUCCCGGGCCUUGUACACACCGCCCGUCACGUCAUGAAAGUCGGUAACACCCGAAGCCGGUGGCC
rnacentral:rRNA from 1 species